rnacentral:lncRNA from 1 species
ACAAAACAAUAUAAUGAAAUAUAGAGAAAUGUUGAAAAACAACAGUGGUAUAUAUAAUAUGACCCCAAUUUUUAAUCCAACACUACCUUGAUAAAUUCAGACUAUUAAUGCAAUUUUUCUUUAGGAUUCAGGACAUUCUUAAAGUGAACAGUCCAAAUUGUAUUUGCUGUCUAGAAAACCAACAGAAGUGUAGCUUAUCAAGGAAAAAGAUGAGAAGCUCCAUAAAAUUAUAAAAAGGAAGCAACAAAUUCCUGAAAAAUUUAGACCAUGUACACAAUCAAUUCAUAUUGUUCAAAGCAUGAGUCCUAAUUAAUUAGAAUAACAGCAGUAACAACUAUUAAGUACCUGCAUUUGGGAAUACUCUUAUUGCCUACCAAAAAGAAAAAUAAAACUACACCAAUUCAUAAUUUAUGCCAUGCAACUAAUGAGAAAUAUUGAGUUACUUUACAAUCCAUCAUUCACCUAUCUGAGCACAUAAUAUUUUUCAGCCCUAUGAAAUACCAAGUUCUUUAAUAGGGCAUGGAGAUCCCAAAGAUGAAUUAGACAGAAAUCUUGCCCUUAAGCAGGUCAAAACCUACUGGGUGAUCCAGGUAGGUAGACACUGACAUUGAAUGUGAUAAGCUCAACACUGAAGUUGUACAUAAAGGCUACGAAGACAGUGCAGCUGUAGGUCUUGGGUAAAUGGGAAAAGUUUUCAGAGAGGUUGAUUCUAGGCUGUCUUAAAAACUGUGAGGAGGUUGCCAAAUAGACAAAGGAGGGAAAGGCAUUCCCAGGAGAGAAUAACAGGUUCAAAAGCUUAGAGAUGGAAGAGGAUGCUUCCAAUCUGGGAAUCCCAGACAUUUUAGUAGAACUAGAAUGCAAGAUACUAGAUCUGUAGAGAAUGGGAAGAGUUGAAGUAAGCAGGGGGAAAAAGUGUCUUAAUGCUAUUCUAAAUAGUUUGGGUUUCAUAGCAGAGAGCCCAGAAAAUAUUUGGGACUGAGUAGUGACAUGAUCUCAUUUGUGUAUCAGAAAGAUUAUUCUAGGAUGAAUUUGGAGGCACUGAGGCUUAUUUUGGAGUUGGACUUAGACCUGCAGACACUUAUCACUGUUAGAUGGGCCCUUCCAAGAGAAUUUGUAAACAGAGAUCUUGCUCUCAGGAAAUUUAACAUUUAAUUCAUAGAACCCAAAAUCACAGCCUACAGAGAAAUGCACUUUCUUAAGGUAAUGUGUUCUGUUUGCCAGCACUUUGACACAAAGAGAAGUGCUGGCUUCAUAGAAAUAAUUAAUCCUCUUUUUCUGCCACUGGGAUAAACAAAGGAAAGAAAGAAAUAGAUGUUAUAAAAAAAUAAAAUCCAAGGCAGAUCAAAGGGGAUGUGGCGGAGGAUUCAGCAACUGCCACCCUUAAGCAAAGAACAGUAAUGAAGAAAUGAGUUUUGGCAGCCUAGCCAAUGGGAUAUGAAAGAAAUUAAUCCCGAAGGGAUGUAAUGACCUGAAAAAAAUGAUGAGCAAAGUCCAGAAGGAUUAGAAGAAAGAAAAAGGCAGCAGACAGGUAAGAGCCAUUUUCUUCUCUGUCUUGUCUAUCUGAAGGAUAUCAGAUAGUCCUCAGCGAUGGGAGCUGUGGAAAAGCAAGCCAAAGAAUUGAUUUGGCAAAGUCAUUUAAAUUUCUUAUUCUUCUUAUUCAUUUUUUCUCGUUAAGGCAAAGAAUGGUACUUUAAUUUACUGUCAUAACACAGGAACUAGCUAUUGAUAAGAUUAACCUUGUUCAAUCAUGAUGAAAUUCAGUAAACUCAGGACACAUUUUUGGAUACUUUGUUUUCCCAGCUAAAGAUAAGAGUUGCUCCUAAGACUCAGACCUUUAGUAUAAUGUACACUGAUGGUUUUUAUUUUUUUCUUUCCAGAAUGGACUUCAGUGCAACAGGGAAUUAAACUGAAAUCAUUAAAUUCUUUCUGCUUAGCACUUUAGAGAAAAUUUCUAUCAGCCUGCCUAAGUGCUCACCAUGGGAAACUGAAACCAGGAAUUUAAUCUCAAAUUUCUGAAGACAUUCAGACUUAUCCAUUGUUCUAUGAAUCAGGAAUAUGUUAACAGAAGUUCUGGUUAUUGAAGAAUCUUCAGAAUGAAAAUCAAAUUAUGAAAUCCCCAGUUGUAAUAUUCCCACCAUGGGUGAAGUCUGCUGUCUGAUUGCUAGAAUUUUGGCCGAUGCCUUCUUGCACCUCUAUGAACCCGACUCCAGCCCCUCCCCUCUAAUUACUGCCCACAGUGAAGAGAGAAUUUCUGCCCACUCCCUGCAAGCCCAGGUAGGGGAGCAUUUGCCAAGAAGCCUGCCCUUUACCGCAAGUGUGCAAAGUGGCAACCGCAGCUGACAACAUCCCCAGGGGCCCUGUCUUGUGGUCUGGCCGCAGUGAGAAUUUUCUCGGCUUCCUAGGGGAGAGGGCACUGACCCAGCUUUCAGCUGGAGCCUGCUGCUGGAGAACUAAUUACUAGUGUGAAAAAAGCCUGGAUUCAGGUCAAUGUUUUCUCAAACAUUGUUUACAUUUGAUUUUAAAUCCAUACAAUGGCAGAAUUGACAUUUGCAGCUUGCUACCACAUUCAUUUGUGAGGUUUUAUGUUACUUUAUUUUUAGGUUGGAAAUGUUUGAGGAGGCAUUUAUCAUGAAAGCCGUGGCCUUUGCUCCUAAAGCUUCGUCUCACAAGUACAAUAACAAAAACUGCUAAUUAAAAGAGGGAAAACAACCAGGAGUCAAACACAAAGGGGCAUCCCUGCCUCAUCAGCACAGAACAAUCGACCGGCUCCCUUCACUGCCCAUGCGAGGCUCCAUGUGAGGAAGCCUGCUCUGCCCUUCCAGGAAGCAGGUGUGGGAAUAGAAGGAGGCACCACUCAUCUUCUGCAGAAAAGCAAAAUGAAGACAUCAUCAGAGAGCAGCACUCAUUGGAAGUAGCUCCUCGGGUUCCCUUCUAAUGUCAGGGUGAGAAUUCAGGGCUCUCUUGAGAGCACUAUUAUGUGCCUACUAUGUGUCAGGCAGAACUGGCUACAAAAUUCAAGGGGCCCAGAGUGAAAUGAAAAUGUGAGGUACCUUGUUCAAUAAUUAUGAAGAAUUCUAGGAUGGCGAGAGCAGAGCAUUAGAGGAAAGGCAAGGUCCUGUGCAGCUGCGCGGGUCACACACCCAUGCAGCCAACCCUGGUGCCAGGCACAGCUAUACCCACAUUAGCUCCUGUCUUUUACUGAAUAGCACAAUAACUCUGCAAUACUGGAGGUUUUUAACAUUAUCCAGGCUUUACAGAAGAAGCUACCGAAGCUCAGAAAGUCAUUUUAUUCAAGGCCAAUCAGCUAAUUAGAGCUCAGGUCUCCUACUAAACACCAGAAUCACAGCUAGCCACUCCACAACAUACAGAGGUCAGUAAACCACUCAACAUUGUAUCUGAACUUCCAGUCUUCCAAUAUCUGAACUCAAUCAGGUAAGUCUCCUAAACACGCCCUACCUGUUCUAUCUGUGCUUUGCUCAGUUUUCACCAAAUAGGUAUUAGCUAAAUAAACAUGUGGAUGAACACAGCAUCCAUUACAAUAGUAAUAUAAUAUUAUCAUACUUACAUUGUAUAAUAUAAUAAUGUACUUCAUUCAAUUCUCUACAUUUUUUAAAGUAUUGUCACAUAUUUUAUUUUUUUCUAGGAAAUUUUUAUUGCUGAGUGUUUUAAAUUAUACUCAUGAUUUAUAAAUUCUCACAAUUCUGAGCCUGCUAUAGGACAAGAGAUGUAUCUGCCAACAUUCAUUCAAAGUUGUUGGCUAAGCACUGUGCUAGCCACUGGGGAUGCAUGCAUAUACACAAAUGCUCUAGUGCAUUUCUUUCCCUUAAAGGCCUUGCCAUCUAACAGGACUGACAGGAAAACUACAGAAAGCACAGUAGUGUGGUAAGUGCACGAGUAGGGUAUGGACAGGCUCAGCAGGGUCUGAAAUAAAUCAGACCUGGGACUUGUGAAAUGUUUACAAAGAACAAGAUGCUUUUUAAAGGUGCAUAAAAGGUGUUUGUUUUGUUUUGUUUUUGAGACAGGGUCUCACUCUGUCGCCCAGA